UUCGGGUGAGGCAAGCGUUGUUCGGAAUCACUGGGCUUAAAGCGCGUGUAGGCGGUUCGGUAAGUACCUUGUGAAAUCCCUUCUCUCAAUGAAGGAAUGGCUGGGUAUACUGCCGGACUGGAGGCAGGUAGGGGUCACUGGAACUCUAGGUGGAGCGGUGAAAUGCGUAGAUAUCUAGAGGAACGCCCGUGGCGAAAGCGGGUGACUGGGCCUGUCCUGACGCUGAGACGCGAAAGCGUGGGGAGCAAACAGG
rnacentral:rRNA from 1 species